CUUUCAUUCCCCUCUUUUAUGCCUCACCAACUGGGCUAGUUACUGUGGUGCGUGAGAACACACAUACAUAUGGUUGGUGCUGGAGAUGAGAGGCUGGUAUACGGGCCGCGGGGGUCGCAUCGCAGAGGCCAGCGCGUAGACCCUUUCCAUGAGGCAUCUGGAAAAACAAGGACCCAAACACAA